UGAAUGUUCAUAAUAUACAGAUAAGCGCUAAAAAUAUUCAUGUGAACUUUUGAUACCUUUUCUGAAAUUCUCCAGUCAUUAAAUCUUUUACAAAAUUCAUUGAUUACAAAAGAAAAGAAGAUUUGGUAUGAUUGCCAUGUUGAGACAACUCUCCACAAGAGACCAAUAUGACACAGAAAUUAACAACUAUAGGUCACCGUACGACCUUUAACAACGAGCAAAGCCCAUGCCGCAUACUCAGCUUUAAAAGGCCCCGAACUGACAAUGUAAAACAAUUCAAACCAGAAAACUAGCGGCCUUAUUUAUGUACAAAACAUGAUCGGAAAACAAAUAUGUAACACAUAAACAAACGACAACC
rnacentral:lncRNA from 1 species